UACGAAGGGGGCUAGCGUUGCUCGGAAUUACUGGGCGUAAAGCGCACGUAGGCGGCUUUCUAAGUCGGGGGUGAAAUCCUGGAGCUCAACUCCAGAACUGCCUUCGAUACUGGAAAGCUCGAGUCCGGGAGAGGUGAGUGGAACUGCGAGUGUAGAGGUGAAAUUCGUAGAUAUUCGGAAGAACACCAGUGGCGAAGGCGGCUCACUGGCCCGGUACUGACGCUGAGGUGCGAAAGCGUGGGGAGCAAACAGG
rnacentral:rRNA from 1 species